rnacentral:lncRNA from 1 species
GGUUGCUGCUCUCCAUGAGCUGUUCCAACUGUGAAGCAAAAGCUUCAUGCAUAAAGGCAUCCCAACGCAGUCAAUGACGCACAGGAGAAAGAGGACAGAGAUAAGCUUCUUGCCUGUUCCAGACACUGAGGAUCAGGCAGAGAGAGAGGCUCCUGCCAGGCUGAGCUAAUGUUUUCCUUGGCUGAAUGGCAAGCAAGCACCAACUGUCCACA